rnacentral:misc_RNA from 1 species
AACCUUAUGGACCUGCGGGCGUAUACCUGCGGAGGGAUCAUUACUCAGCAAAUAUGCUUUUGUGCAAUUGCGUGCCGUCGCCAGAAAGCAGCCAGGGCCCGCCUUACCUUUUGGGACGGCGGGGCUUCUCUGUCAGUAAGCUUCGGUCCAUGCAUGUACUUAUACCCUUGUCUUUUGCGUACUACUUGUUUCCUCGGCAGGCUUGCCUGCCGACUGGACAUUAUAAACUCUUUUUUUUGU